CAGUAGCCACGGUAAUACGGUGGGUGCAAGCGUUAAUCGGAAUUACUGAGCGUAAAGCGUGCGUAGGCGGUUCGUUAAGUCUGUUGUGAAAGCCCCGGGCUCAACCUGGGAAUGGCAAUGGAUACUGGCGAGCUAGAGUGUGCCAGAGGAUGGUGGAAUUCCCGGUGUAGCGGUGAAAUGCGUAGAGAUCGGGAGGAACAUCAGUGGCGAAGGCGGCCAUCUGGGACAACACUGACGCUGAGGCACGAAAGCGUGGGGAGCAAACAGGAUUAGAUACCCCAGUAGUCCCUGUCUCUUAUAC
rnacentral:rRNA from 1 species